rnacentral:rRNA from 1 species
GUUGGGUAGGGGAGCGUUCUGUAAGCCUGUGAAGGUGUGUCGUGAGGCAUGCUGGAGGUAUCAGAAGUGCGAAUGCUGACAUAAGUAACGAUAAAGCGGGUGAAAAGCCCGCUCGCCGGAAGACCAAGGGUUCCUGUCCAACGUUAAUCGGGGCAGGGUGAGUCGACCCCUAAGGCGAGGCCGAAAGGCGUAGUCGAUGGGAAACGGGUUAAUAUUCCCGUACUUGGUGUUACUGCGAAGGGGGGACGGAGAAGGCUAUGUUGGCCGGGCGACGGUUGUCCCGGUUUAAGCGUGUAGGUGUGUGUUCCAGGUAAAUCCGGUUCACUUUAACACUGAGGCGUGACGACGAGGCACUACGGUGCUGAAGCAACAAAUGCCCUGCUUCCAGGAAAAGCCUCUAAGCAUCAGGUAACAUCAAAUCGUACCCCAAACCGACACAGGUGGUCAGGUAGAGAAUACCAAGGCGCUUGAGAGAACUCGGGUGAAGGAACUAGGCAAAAUGGUGCCGUAACUUCGGGAGAAGGCACGCUGACACGUAGGUGAAGUGAUUUACUCAUGGAGCUGAAGUCAGUCGAAGAUACCAGCUGGCUGCAACUGUUUAUUAAAAACACAGCACUGUGCAAACACGAAAGUGGACGUAUACGGUGUGACGCC